AAUCCCUGGACCUCUGAGGAGAGGAGAGGGGCUGAAGGUUGAGUUGCUCACCAAUGCCAGUGACUUAAUCAAUCAUAUCUAUGUAAUUAUUCCUCCAUAAAAUCCCAAAAUGACUAAUUUCAAAGAACUUCUCGGUUAGUGAAAACAUUUGCAUGCCAGAAGGCGCUCGCACGCCAACUCAGCAGGUUAAGAGACCAGAGUAACUUUUGAGCUAAUGAGGACACUAGGUGACAUCAAGCCCAAACACUUUCUGAGCAAGUGGCUGGUCCUGAGAGGUGAUCGAGGUCACACAACUAUAAGAUAUAAGCAGGAACUGAAAAAUCACAUCUCCAGACUCAUCACUUGGGCUUGGCCAUGGACUUGCAUAUCAUUGCUGAGAGAAGUCUCAACAGCAGCUUAAGUACUAUUGAGGACCUCAAGAUGACAAAUUUUCUCCAUCUCUUCUAAGGCUGAAUUGUCAUAUCCAAUGUGCUUUAUGACUAUGCUUUGAUUUGUGCUGAUGGAUCUAAGGUGUGCACCUCUGGAGGCUUUGAGGUGGCUAUACUUCAGUUGUGGAUAAAGAGGUGAAGAAGGACAUCUAUGGUGAUGCUCAGUAAUAUCUGCAAAGAACUGUGGAGACAGACAAAUAGUCAAAGGAGAAUACAGAUGACUUUCAGAAGAAGUGUGAACAUCAAGCUGAGGAGCUUUUUUGAAGAGCAGGGUCUUUCUAUCAACAUGGGAUAGUGGAAGAUUAAAGUAGUGAUGACUACAUAUAGAAAUACAAAGUUGAAGUGAGAGACGCAAGUCUGAUACUGCAAAAGAAAAAUGUAAGAAACUUAGGACUCAACCUUAUCAAUGAGUUCGUUCAACUAUAGAAAUGCACUAGGGACUGAAUGGUGUCCCCCCAAAAUUUAUAUGUCAAAGCUCUAAUCCUAAAUAUGAUGAUCUCCAGAGAUGGAACUUUGGGGUGGUAAUUGGGUUUAGAUGAGGUUAUGAGGAUGGGGUCCUCAUGAAGGGAGUAGUGCCCUUAUAAGGAGAGGCCAGCGUGCUCACUUGUUCGCAUAUGCUCUUGUAUUCUCUCUCUCUCCUCAACCCCCACCACGUGAGGACACAACAAGAAGAUGGUUGUCUACAAGCCAGGAAGAGAGCCUUCACAAGGAACCAAAUCAGCGGGCACCCUGAUCAUGAGACUCCCAGCCUCCAGAACUGUGAGAAAUAAAUGUCUGCUGUUGAAGCC